rnacentral:misc_RNA from 1 species
AAAUCAACGAAAGGAGGUGAUCCAGUGCAUCAUAAGGUAUUGGAGAAGUGUGUCGGGACAGCUUGGGGGACGCGUAUCUAGGGCAGCCCCUGGAGACGAAGCAACCCAGGUGGGCCAGCGAUUAGGUGAGACCUAACCGACGCCACCUCCUGAACUUAGGAAGGGCCGUCCCAUCGCCGGGGCGGCCCU